GUGGAGCUGUUGGUUUACAAUGUGCAAACAGGUUUCAUUGGUGGAGAUGUUGAUGGAUGCUACUGGAACGGUAGUGAAGUGCAUGGAUCUUGGUGCGAGCAUUUGUGUUAAUGGCGCGAUAGAAGCUCUCUAGUGAAUGCGUGGUGCAUUACCCACUUGCAAUCUCCGCUGAGUGUUAAUGUUAAAGUUGUCAGUGUCGGGUAUAGCUUCGAUCCGCAUUGUUGUUUGUGGCUGAAGGUGUCGCAGGCUAUGGCCAUUAGAGAAGAUUUGACGAUUUAUUUUUUGAGAUGAAAAUGAAGAUUGUAGGUGUUGUGACCAUGAGAAAAUGAAGAAAAUAAGGAACUUCGCGUUUUUUAAAAGAAAUGGAGAUGAAGAGAUGUUGGAUGCAAAAUUUGGACGAAAAU
rnacentral:lncRNA from 1 species